AUUGAACGCUGGCGGCAUGCCUAACACAUGCAAGUCGAACGGAAACAGGACGCUGGGAUCCCUUCGGGGUGAACUUGUCGCUGUCGAGUGGCGGACGGGUGAGUAAUGCGUAGGAAUUUGCCUCAAAGUGGGGGAUAGCCCGAAGAAAUUCGGAUUAAUACCGCAUGUGCUCUACGGAGGAAAGCGGGCCUCUACCUGUAAGCUCGCGCUUUGAGAUAAGCCUACGUCGGAUUAGCUUGUUGGUGGGGUAAUGGCCUACCAAGGCGACGAUCCGUAGCUGGUUUGAGAGGAUGAUCAGCCACACCGGAACUGAGACACGGUCCGGACUCCUACGGGAGGCAGCAGUGGGGAAUAUUGGACAAUGGGCGCAAGCCUGAUCCAGCAAUGCCGCGUGUGUGAAGAAGGCCUGCGGGUUGUAAAGCACUUUUAUCAGGAAAGAAAAUCUCGGGGCUAAUACCCCCGGGCCUUGACGGUACCUGAUGAAUAAGCACCGGCUAACUCCGUG
rnacentral:rRNA from 1 species